rnacentral:rRNA from 1 species
GGUCUGCAACUCGACUACAUGAAGCUGGAAUCGCUAGUAAUCGCGAAUCAGCAUGUCGCGGUGAAUACGUUCCCGGGCCUUGUACACACCGCCCGUCACACCAUGGGAGUUGGAAGCGCCCGAAGCCUGUGACCCAACCUGCAAGGGAGGGAGCAGUCGAAGGAGAAGCCAGCGACUGGGGUGAAGUCGUAACAAGGUAGC